rnacentral:ncRNA from 1 species
CUAAUCACGUAGAAGGUAAGAGUACAUGAAAGUAGUUGUUUUAAGAGAGGUGUUCUCUAAGGCUGCAAGGGACACUAUACAGCUAUCAUGGAAAGCUAUGCCUGAGUACGGCUAAUCACCGUCGGUUUCACACCGUUACUAUGACAUAAGUGAUGAAUAAUUAACUUUAUUCAUAAUUAGGGUGGUACCGCGAUAUCUCGUCCCUGCA